AACGAACGCUGGCGGCAUGCCUAACACAUGCAAGUCGAACGAGACCUUCGGGUCUAGUGGCGCACGGGUGCGUAACGCGUGGGAACCUGCCCUUAGGUUCGGAAUAGCUCCCCGAAAGGGGUGCUAAUACCGGAUAAUGUCUUCGGACCAAAGAUUUAUCGCCUUUGGAUGGGCCCGCGUUGGAUUAGCUAGUUGGUAGGGUAAAAGCCUACCAAGGCGACGAUCCAUAGCUGGUCUGAGAGGAUGAUCAGCCACACUGGGACUGAGACACGGCCCAGACUCCUACGGGAGGCAGAAGUGGGGAAUAUUGGACAAUGGGCGAAAGCCUGAUCCAGCAAUGCCGCGUGAGUGAUGAAGGCCUUAGGGUUGUAAAGCUCUUUUACCCGGGAUGAUAAUGACAGUACCGGGAGAAUAAGCUCCGGCUAACUCCGUG
rnacentral:rRNA from 1 species